GUCGUUCCAAAACCUUAAAGGGGCCCUACAGUCAUUUUUUAGUCGAAAAGCCGCCUUAAGUAUUGUUUACAUUUUUUUGUUAUUGUCGCUACUUGACAUACGCACCACGGCAUGCAUGCGUCUUCCGGUGUGCGGAAGUACUCAUACUCAUGGAUACUGCAUGUAAGAUACAGUCAAACCAAUCUCCGUGGAGUCCCCUACUCAAGGUGGUUUUUCGACUAAAAAAUGACUGUAGGGCCUCUUUAAACUUUAAACGCUGAGCGCGCUAGGGAUGACGAGUUUUCACCUAUUAGGCUCUUAAACUCAGAAAUUGAAUUGCCUUUGCAGCAAGUAUGUUGUCUGUCGUGAGCGGUGAGUACUAGUCCUCUAUAUGUCUUAGGUAUUCUUGAAAAGCCAAAUCAGUUCAAAGUUUAUGAGUCUAAAUAUGCAAUAACCCAUCACCCCCUUUUUAACAAAGGCUAAGAGCGCCUGCUUGCUGCAUAACAUUCUGUAUCAACAAUAAAUUAUAAUUUGAAUUCAUGAUUUCAUCAUUGUUGAGCCUUUGACGAGACUGCCACCUUUGAAAGUAAUAUUUUACUCGCUUGUAAUGUCAUAGACUUAUUUCAUUUACAUAUCAAAUUAAACUAAAAUAUUUCGAGAACGAAAAAUGACAAGCUAGAAAAUUUAACUGUUCACUAAUUUAUUUCACAGUUUCACGCCUCUUCUGUCUAAAAAUGCAGACUUAAAUUUCGUUGCCAUUAAUAUUACAGUAAACUCUCUUGUUUUCUUGGACAUGCCCAUGAGCAAAUACCACGUACAGAAGACGAGACUUGUAGACGUCUGAUUCAGGCAAUUAUACGCUGAAGCUAAUUAAAAGAUAUUUUUAAACUACUAAACUUUAGAAAUAUGUUUAUCGGCCGCAAUUUGGAGAUAAAAAGAUAGUCCAUAUAUAUCAGCAUUUUUUUCGCAAUAAUUAAGUGUACUUUAAUUUUUAAAGAUACAUUUUUUUAUCCUGAAGGCAUUGUAAUCAACCACAAUAAGAUUCUUGACCUUGUGGGUUUGCAUGGUAAAAAUAGAUAUAAUUGUUUUGGGGUCACGUUUAUUCCUUCUCCGCGGCUUUGCAUGGCGAAGCUUUAGAGUUUAGAUCCAAUGAGUCCAG